rnacentral:tRNA from 1 species
UCCGGCGUCGCCCGAUCGGUAGAGCAGCGGACUGUUAAUCCGUCAGGUACUGGUUCGAAUCCAGUCGCCGGAG